UGGCGUGCUAUGACGAGGCAAAUUUGUGGACUAGAGUUUCUGAUCUGGGAAUAUACUCAGAAGUUGAUUAUGAAACCCUUGGCUGUCUGAGCAUACCA
rnacentral:snoRNA from 1 species